ensembl:antisense Mecomos MDS1 and EVI1 complex locus, opposite strand
GAGAAGGCGGCAGCCAGCCGGGCUGACCCACCCGAGGCGGCGGAGUCCCAGCGACCAGGGACGCUCCGGGGGCACGGGGACCUCAGCGCAAACCCGGGACGCAGACGCUGUCCCCAGCGACACCCUGCCCACAGCCAAGACUUUUUAAAGUGAGUUCGCUUACCUUCCGAUUUCUACGGCCUCAACUCAGCAAUCAAAAGCAAUCACAGCAGAAUUAAACAAAAAUAAGAUCAGCAGCAGCCAGUUGACCAAUACGGUGCUGCAGAAAGGAAGAAAGAAAAGAAAGGGAAAGAAGAGAAAAGAAAAGGAGAGAGAAAAAAAGAAAAGACAGACAGACAGAAAGGAAAUUAAAGGUUUAAAAAAAAAAAAAGAUCUACUGCCCAACCUUCUGCAGGACCUUGUCAUUGAAAUGCAGACCUAUCCCAGUGUGAGGGAAUCGUAUGAAGCACUAAACCUGGAGAUUAUGGAGUAUCCAACAGAAGCUAGAUUGGGAGAAAGCAGCUGAACAGCGCAAGACAAGGUCAGUUCUGUCUCCUUUCCUUUCCAAGCUGACACCUGGUACUUAACAUUGAACACAAGAAUAUGUUGCCUCCUGGGAAUUACGCCAGCACCCGGGCAAACAACCACUGACGCCCAUUCCUUACAAAGUGAAGCCCAACUCUUCACAGGGCAAAACAGGUAGGAAACACCAUUUUAAUACUCAGGCAUUAAGAACAGGCAGACGGUCUUUUCUUUUGCAUCAUCUUUAAUGGCUAGACGAAACAUUUCAAGUCUGAGCUGUAGGACUUGUAUAUUCUAAUCCCGAGUCCGUGAUUUCUUUCUAUCUCUAGUGUCUUUAUUAUUUUACAGACAUCCUCCUCACCCAUAACAGAUUCUCAAACUACCUCCACUCACUCACACUCCCUUCCCCAUGCGAGAUUUUUGAUUCAACCCAGGGCAUAUGGAUAAAUAAAAUAGGUUAUCUAAACCAAAUGUGUGCUAGUAUCCCAAAGAAAAUGAUAACUAUUCUUUGAAAUACAUAUAACUGCACCUUUCAUGGGGAUGCUAAUGUUCAGACACUGGACACCUCUUGCUGUCCACUGUGUCGAAGACAUUCCCAUUAGUCAGAUUUAUUCAUUAAAUUACAGUUUUCUAAAUGGCAUGAGAAUUUCAGUUUGGGAUAUACUAUGCCUACAUUACUAAUUUAGUGCUUAUUAUUUAUAAACAUAAAUACAUUCAGACAUUAAGAAAAUCAAUAAGGAUAAUAAAAAAAAACCCUCUGGCAUCUACUUGGAAAAAUACAAUAGUAUUAAAAGAGUCCACCUUUUCAGAAAGUUUUGAAAGUUAUCUGUACAUUGUUGCUUUGUUACUGUUGUUACUUCUACCUCUCUUGUGUCAUCCAUGCCUUUCCUCACAGCCUACAUUUAAACAUCUCCUCCAGACCACAGAAGGCCUUUACUCUGAAAUAACCCUUUAGACUCGAAUGCCAAAGCUACUGUGCAGAAAGCAAGGAAACCCUACCCUUCCAUUCUCUAUGUGAAUGUGUAAGAGAGAUUUUAGGAAUGGCAAAGCCAGUCAACAAGGAACGGUUGAACUCAAGUCCUCUGAAAUCGCUGUGGUGUGUGUGAUCCCAGGGCUGCAGUGUUUGCUUACAAAGACUGUGGCUGACCAGACACAGUACAGAUGAAAUGCCGUCAAACAACUCCUUGACCUCUGAAACAAUAGGUGGGGCCUGCUUGAAUCAUAAAACUAACAGAGUCAACAAUUAAACACGGUUGUAACAAUGAGGGUGUCUCCAUAUUGGGCCACCAAAAGUGCUUGAAAGAACAGAAUUGCUUUACAAUAAACUGGCGAGGAGGUUGAUGCUCCACACCUUCAUGGACAGAUAAAGACACUGACUGCAGCCAUGACAAACAAUGCUCCACAGAAAUGCGCUGCUUUCCCUUUUUCUCAGCAAUCUCUUCCAGCUCAAGCCAUUAAGGGACGCAUUUGAAAGCAGGGCACUCUAGAUUUCUCUCCACUGAGCCCGAUCGGGCUCUCUUUUACCACUAGCUGACCAAGGAGCCACACAAUUGUGAUGGGUAGUGUGGUGGCUUCUGGUCCCACCUCCUACCCCAGGACUCUGUCUCUAGUCUCUCGCCAUCCUGCACAGAACUAGCCCUGUGAGUUGUCUCUGCUGAGGUGACUUGCUGGUCACAUGAUCAACUCUGACUCACAAUACUGAAGAAAAGAGGGAACUUGGGAGCCAGUUUGUUAUUUGGCUUAAGGAAUUCUCUUUGAUUUUUCUAGUUUUGCCAUGGCGUAGAACUAAUAACAUAGCCAGAGGAAGAGGGCAGCUAGUUACUUCGCUCUUCUUCUACCUAUAGUGCUUUCAGCCUUGGGUCGAAGCAUAUUCCCACUAGGAAAAGGAUUUGUGUAGUGGUUUACAAAGCCUUUCUAUGCUGAGGUUUGCCAAGGUAGAUAAACUUUCAAUUCAUCCAAUUGUUCUAAUUAGAAUUGGUUAGCAUUCAGUGAAAAGGCUUUACAAGUUCAAUGUCAAUAUUAAUAUAACUUCAUACACAUGGGCAUGUGUAUGUGCUUGUGAGCACAUGUCCAUGCCAGUGUCUAUGUAGCAAAAGUUUUUUUUUCCAUUUUUUUCCCUUUUAUUGUAUAUUUUCUUUAUUUACAUUUCAAAUGUUAUCCCCUUUCUCCAGUCUCCCCUACUGAAACCCCCAUCCUAUCCCCCCUCCCCCUGCCUCUAUGNNNNNNNNNNNNNNNNNNNNNNNNNNNNNNNNNNNNNNNNNNNNNNNGGGGGGGAGGGGAGGUCUAGCCAGUUGACACUGUUAUAGCAAAAGUUUUAAUCAAAGAGAUUCCAAGAAUUUAUUUUAAAAAAUACAAAAACGGGUGUUGUGUUACCAAUGCUUUUAAGUAUAUUUCAAGUCUUAAAAGAAGUAAGUAGAUUCAAAUUAUUCUGAGAGUAAAACUAAGAACAGGAAUCGUAGCCAUAGCAGGCGACUACAGUUAUGAGCACUCGCUCACUGUGAGGAGACAAUGUGCUAUUUUGACACAAAACUAUUGAGGGAGUCCCCAAAUCUAACACGGGAUCAUUGUGGUGUUGCAAUAGCCACUUUGUUAUGGCCACUUGAUACCUAAGGGAGUGAAAAUGAGAGAGAGGUGGGCAGUGUCACUUAGACACUUAGACAGGUAAGAUGGCUCCUGACUAGAGUCCCAAGCCACUCACUGUGUCCCCAUACAGUUAUCUGAACCUAUGCUGCUUAGUAGGGAGGCUACCAGCUGCAUGUGGCUAUUUGAAUAGAAACAUUAAUUAAGAUGAAAAUGAGCUUCUCAGUCCCACAAGCCACAUGUGGCCAGGACCUACUGUUAAAGACCCUUAUCUGCAACACAGAUACAAAAUGGUUCUGUCUCUGCUGUAGUCCUAUUGGUCAGUAUUUACUGAGAACUGGCCAGAAUGGGUUUCUUAGCCUCACACACCAGCUACUAAUUAAGGGAGUGGAUUGAUUAGAGUCAACAAAAGUGUUAGCAUGGGGCUGGGGAGAUGGCUCAGAAUAUUUACUGUACCAGUAUUAGGACCUCAGUUUAGCGCCUCAGGACCACUGUAGACAAUGGGCAGGAACAUGGCACUAGUCACCUGUUACCCUAGGCCUGGUGGGAGGAGAGUUCACAAGGGUAGACAGAUCCUAGGGGUUAUCUGGCUACCUAAAUGGCAAGCUGCUGAUUCAAUGAGAGGACCUGCCCAUAAACAAACAAAUGAAGAAACAAAUAAACAAAUAAAUGGAGCAAAGGAAGACAUCUCAUGUGUAAUUCUGGCUUCUGUGUGCAAAUGUGUGUGUGUGUGUGUGUGUGUGUGUGUGUGUGUGUACGCAUGCACACACUGGAUCACACCUGCAUAAACAUGAGCAUAUAUAUGUGCAAGUACCAUAUACAUGCAGCUAUUUUUAAAUUUAUUUUUCAAUUCUUCCUCAAAAUUUAAUCCAUUUUCCUCUCCUCCUCAAGAUAAGCUGAGGAUUCAAAAAGCAUCCCAGAUACCCUGUCUCAGAGAGACCAGGUGGAAAUGUGACCCUAGCUGUGUCUGCAUCUAUCAUGUGAGAAGCAGUUGGUGCACUGAGAAAAGGCAGGAUUAAGACUCACGGAAGGAUAAUGCUGGAGGUCCCAGAUCUAGAUCCCUGCAUCUGUGAACUAGGUACAUGAAGUGAUCUACUUGAGACUCGAUUUCACUUCUAGGUAAGACAAUGUGAUCUUACACAUCUGUGUAAGAUGCUCUUAGGCUGGGGAUCCUAAGAAUCAAAUAAAUAGUAAGAAACGUGUGUCAUUUUUGCUUGGGGAGGUAUAUAUAUGAAUGAAAAUGAAGACAGUGGGAAGAGAGUCCAGGUGCCAGAAGUGCUGAAACAGUGCCUACACAGUUAUAUGCUCACAGGCUAGAGAUGCUGGAACAAUGCCCACACAUUUAAACACUCACAGGGCAGAGGUGCUUACAAUUCAUUAUCAUAGAGCAUCCCUAGCUAAAAGGCAUUUGGCAGGUUGCAAUACAAAACACAGCUUCUAAGGGUAGCCAUGAGUAUUAAAUGUCUACAUCCUUUAAACAACUGUAUCUAGAACUUUUUUUCUUCCAAAAGACCAUUACUACACUCCUCUUCCCAGUGUUGUUUUCACAGAACUAAGAAGCAGAUUCUCAGGGCUUAUUCUCGAAUGUUCUAAGGUGACACAUCUCAUGUUAAGUUUAGAAAUCUGUGCUUUGAAACUGUAUCCCUGUUUGGAUGUGUGAGGUCCAGGGAUCACGGUUUGAAACAUAAUAUAUGAGAGAUCCAAGAUGCUUGAAACGGCAAAGUCAGCUGCGAGUCUACAUCUGCAGGAACUCUAUCAACCUUACUUCUGUAAGAAUAAACCAAGAACUCAUGAGAGCGGGUAAGAUAGCCUUACCCACUCCAUAGUAGGAGACUCAUGGGUUUCAGGAUAACCUCAGCUCCAUAGCAAAAUUGAGGCCAAGCUGAUGUACAGAAGAUCCUGUCUCAAAAUACUAAAACAAAAUUUCAAACGAUAUCGAUCCUCUUAAACACCUAAGAAAUAGCUAUUGCUAUUUUACUCACUUUUCCCCAUAGGAAACAUUAACUGUGUUUGUCAUCUCAGCUAUCACCGUGGCAGGAGGAGGAGUCAGGGUACAACUUAACUAAGAGCAUUUCCUUCACCACAGGUGCUGGGCCAAACUGAAAAACAAACGAAAGACCAUUCACGGAAGACGCAGUUUGGAGAUGGUGUCAACUCAUGCACUAGAAGUUGUUGAAGUGAUUUGUUUAUUAAUGGCUUUCUUUAGGUUUUCUCUGGGACAGUUAUAAGAGAAAGACGGAUUUGAACACCAGAGAUUCUCUCUG